rnacentral:rRNA from 1 species
AUUGAACGCUGGCGGCAGGCCUAACACAUGCAAGUCGAGCGGAUGAAAGGGGCUUGCUCCUGGAUUCAGCGGCGGACGGGUGAGUAAUACGCAGGAAUCUACCUAGUAGUGGGGGAUAACGUUUCGAAAGGGGCGCUAAUACCGCAUACGUUCUGAGGAAGAAAGCAGGGGAUCGCAAGACCUUGCGCUAUUAGAUGAGCUUGCGUCCGAUUAGCUAGUUGGUGGGGUAAAGGCCUACCAAGGCGACGAUCGGUAACUGGUCUGAGAGGAUGAUCAGUCACACUGGAACUGAGACACGGUCCAGACUCCUACGGGAGGCAGCAGUGGGGAAUAUUGGACAAUGGGGGCAACCCUGAUCCAGCCAUGCCGCGUGUGUGAAGAAGGCCUCGGUUGUAAGUACACUUUAAGACGGGGUAGGAAGGACCGUGGAUGGAGUAAUAACCC